rnacentral:rRNA from 1 species
GAUGAACGCUGGCGGCGUGCCUAAUACAUGCAAGUCGAGCGAACAGACGAGGAUCUUGCUCCUUUGACGUUAGCGGCGGACGGGUGAGUAACACGUGGAUAACCUACCUAAAAUACUGGGAGAACUUCGGGAAACCGGAUCUAAUACCGUAUAACAUGUUGAACCGCAUGGUUCAACAGUGAAAGACGGUCUUGCUGUCACUUAUAGAUGGUUCCGGGCCGCAUUAGCUAGUUGGUAAGGUAACGGCUUACCACGGCAACGAUGCGUAGCCGACCUGAGAGGGUGAUCGGCCACACGGGAACUGAGACAGGGUCCAGACUCCUACGGGAGGCCGCAGUAGGGAAUCUUACGCAAUGGGGGAAAGCCUGACGGAGCAACGCGGCGUGAGUGAAGAAGGUCUUCGGAUCGGAAAACUCUGUUAUUAGGGAAGAACAAAUGUGUAAGUAACUAUGCACGUCUUGACGGUACCGAGUCAGAAAGCCACGGCUAACUACGUG